CGAAGGGAAGGAAGGAGGAGAGAGAGAGAGCUGAGAGCAGCCAUUGGGAGAAAGCGAGCGAGAGACAGGGAAAGGCGAGAGUGUGUGUAUGCGUCUGGCCUCUAGGGGGCUUCGGAGAGGCGAGUUGGCCCACAGCGCAGCAGCCAGAAAACCAAGAGGGGUGGGGGUGGGGAAAUCUCUCUCUCUCUCUCUCUCUCUCUCUGGCUUGACCAAGCUUUGGGACAUUUUCAAUUUGGACUUAUCAUCAACUUUUCUCGGCGAGGCUUUCCAUUUCAUCGCCUCCUUUCCCUUCCACUGGGGAAGAUCCGCGCCUACGCUGGGUUUGAGAUCUAGGAGGUUCAAGUGGGUGUGGGAGAAGGAGGAGGGGAAGGCUGGGCUGAUUCUCUCUCAGCCCCCCCCCCGUCCCACUCACGCGUGCCUAAGAUCAACCACCGUCUCCCGCCCCCCUAUUACCACCAACAAACGUUCCGAUCUCAUUUCUUUCCCACUGCCUAUAAUGGUUUGAGUGGUUUGGAUGCCCGCUGGCCCUCAUGGGUCCCUAACCCCCACCCCACGCCCGGGUACACGUGCUGGCGCGCGAGCUCCUCUCCGCCUGCCCCCGCCCCCCGCCGGAUGGGAUUGUCGAAGCAGGAACAUACACGCGUGCACACAUACACACGUGUUACUCUCUGCCCACCGACACGAUUUUGUGCAACUUGAUCUCAGGAACGGGACCUCUGUAUUGCUUUGCGGGUGAAUUUUGCCCUCCUCUCUGACACCGGGACCUCUGCCUAGAAGAAGCUCAGCAUAGCAGGUCGGCAAACGAAGACACGAAUCAAGAAGAUGGACCUCCCAUCCUAAACAUUUGAUCCCACCUUACAUGCCAACUCAACUUACUUUCCAGUUAAGGGCUGAGAUAUCCCAGAAGCAAGAGGCUGCUUUGUCCCGGCCUCCGGUGUCUACAGACUUCAGUUUCCUGUAGACCCGGUACAACCAGGUCGACCAGAUUUUGUGCUGCAGACAGAGAGCGCGAGAGAGAAGGCGAAUGUAACUUAUCACCUGUCACCAUCGUGACACACACAGUUCCUCCUAAGCCUAGUCCCACAGACUCUCCCCCGCCCUCCGCCGAAGAGGACAAGUCGAGGGGUCUGAAAUGCUAUUUUCUUGCCGUGUCUCCACCCAGCUGUAUCCCCAUCGCAGGCACCGAAGAAGGACAUGGCAACCAGGAGCCAGGACCAGUUGAGGAGGUCGACCUCCUCCUUCUCUUCUCGCUUCACCUGGAGGAGCCGAACAAAGGGGGCAUUUGAUCCUGUGCUCAGAUGAGCUGUCAACCGCUGCUGGUGUUUUGAAGCACGGCCAGUUAGGCAGCCGCUGCUAAGCAAUGGACUGAUACCUCAGAACUUUGGAGGUGGGGAGGGGGAAGGAGAUAUAAUCUGAAGUUGGGCUGGGGGGGGGGAGAGGAACAGGAGACAUCUGUAGCUGGAGGACAGCGAAAACCUGACGGCGCGGGGGAGGUGUUGGUGGGAGGAAAGGGGCUGCUGUCCAUAGAGGCAGGAGGUGGGGGAAAUUGACAGGCAGGCGCAGGAUGGAGCCCGCCGGAUCGGCUGAACUAACGCCCAUCUUGUAGCCGAAGACACGUUUUCUCAAUUUGAGCACGGUAUCUAUUACCAUAUUGGGUUUCAAUUAAAGAGACAAUUAAAAAAAAAAAAAAAAAGCUUGAGCUGGGAGGGACGAAAGAAAGAGAGAACGGAAAGAGAGAGAGAGAAAAGAAGGAAUAAAGAUGGAUGUCAGUUCCCCAACGCCGCUUAAUCCAAGUUCUUUCUUUUGCCAAAGACACAUUAAAUUAAUGUGUCGCGGGGGCUGAGGAGACAUCUCCCUAAUUGUGGAGAGUAGGAAAGCCAUCCGGGAGCCAAACGCGCCGGCUCGCUCGUUUCGAGGCCCUGUGAUCAGCAAUUGAUGGAGCGUAGCCUGGCCAAGCCUUGUCAAUUACAGUUUAGGCUUAUACAUGAUGUAGUCAAUUUCAUCCAGGUUGGAGGGACGUCACUUCCAAAAGCCCAGAAGUCUUCCGCGCGCCCCUCCUCGUAUUCCUCCCCCCAAAACAUGCUCUCUUUUCGGCUCAGAGCUUUCCCUCUCUUCUCUCCGCGAUCCAACCGUGUCUAUUGCCUCGGAUACAACCCCCCACAAGCCCAGAUGGGGAUGGCCAGCCACAGAAAAAGUGCUGUCCUCCAUCGCCUCCUAUACAAUUAUCCUCCAGCAUCGUUUUACUUAGGAAAAAUCCGGGCCCCCAUCCACAAAUGCAGUAAGCAGGUCAUUUGCCUCUCUGCUCACCUUAGAAGUUAGGGAGCUCUUAUGAACCUCAAGAGUAGUUAAUGUCUCAUGCCUUUUUAAAAAAUAGGCAGUUUCUUAUUCUUCAAAAAAUGGGUGCGUUUUCAAAGCGUUUCAUUUACAAUCUUCUCUCGCUACAGAAGGAAGGUCUGGCACGGGGCUGGGGGCGGGAGAGAUAAAAUUCGGAAUCUGGAGCCGUCUUUAACUAAGCAAUGCACUAGCAGAGGCAUAGGCUCAAAAAGACUGUCUUUCCCCCCAAGCAUUUUAAUAUCUGUCGAUUAAAAUCGCAGAGCCCCAAAUGAAUACUUGUGACUCGCAACACACACACACUUGACACGAUGAACGUGCAUUUUAUUAAUUAAGGGGUUGCAUCUCCAGGUCUUGGGCUUCUUUUUGGUCCACGUAGUAUCGUCCCCCCAUAUUUUUUUAUUUGAAACCUAUUUUUUUUAGUUCAUCUGUCUCUCUUCUUACAAUUCCUGCACGGGUGGGGAAAUAAUAUAUAUUAAAAUACGGUGUUUAAAAUCGAAUUACAUGCCAGGGGCUUGGGGUGCGGGGAGGGAAGGAAGGGUUUCAUAAACCACAUGUGCGAAAACAAAGCCAGAUUACAUUUUGUGGGGGAAGGAAGCUUAAACGAUGAAAGAGAGAGAGAGAGAGAGAGAGAAAGAAAGA